CUUACUUUCCCACCCCAACCCCAAUUCUCUUUCCCAGCCCAUUUCCUUGUCACUUUGAUCCGGCCACGUUUGCCUUCAUACACUCCAAACAGUCUUACGCUCAUAAAUUCCCACGUUCUUCUUCAUCCCCUCCAAACAGCCUCCUCAUAUGAUUCCCAGAAAAUGACCCCUCCAACUACGCGCCUCACACGAGUUGAGGCAGUGGCAAAUUCGCAGAUUGGAAAACAUAGCUCCAAGGACGAUGGAGACCAUCCUAUCCCUCCACCUUGCCUACCAAUCCGAUGGGAGUUUGGGCAUCGAAAUCGGCAUAUUCCCUCAGCUUUUGGAUAAGAUUGGAGUUUGAAAUUCAAAACGGGGAUGGGCCUGAAAUGGCAUCUUCCAGCCUUUUCCUUUUGAAAACCCUAUUGUUCUUCUAUAAAUAGACUGUUUCUUCAUUGAAGAGGGGGAUUUUGAUUUCUUCUCGGAUUUUCUUUUUUAGCCCCUUUUCCUUUACUACUCAUGUAUGAGAAGUGACAAAGCUAAGGAAGGUUAGAAUUUUCCAAUCAUACACAGUUACGUGUGAACGUUCAAGAAAGAAACUUCAAGGAGAUUGAAAGUCGCGAUUCUGUUGCUCCUGUCUAUUUAUUCUUCUUUGGAACCGUUAAGAGUUUAUUUCGGUGGUUGAAGCUUGCUAUAUUUCUCGUCAUUUCCGUUCGCUGCUUUCAAAAAGGUAAACUCUGUUUAUACAUGUGUUAAUUUAUCCUAGACGGAAUUUUGUUUAAUUCGCAGUUUUGAGUCCAGCAGGUUUGUUUCUGCUAUAAAUUUGGCUAGUAAUGUGAUUUUCCUGUUGUUUAAUGGCUCAAUGGUUGUGUAAUGUGUUUGUUAUCAUGUUAGCUUGAGCUUUUGAGUAGCCAAGAUAGCUGUUUUUCUUCUCUCUUUUCUGCUUUUUGCUUUUGUUUCCUUUUCUUCUUUCUAAGAGUAUUCUUGCGAAUACGUAAUGUUCUGUCCCCUUUGGAAUCGUUUGGUUUCCUUGCUUUAGAAUUUUCUCUCCAAUGUUGGUUCUAUGUGCAUUCUGAGCAUUAUGCAUGAUUCGAGUAUUAAUGGAAGUCGCUCAAGUAUUACAUAUUAACCGUUAUGUGUGUUGGUUCGAGUUUGCGUCUAUGAAGAUUAGUUAGUUUGCUGUUUAGUGUUGUUUUCUAUUUCGACAUUCAGUUCUCUCGUUUGAUUUUCAUUAAUAAACCCCUUACUCUAUUAAUCUUGUUAUUCAAGCUUGUAAAAAAGGAUCAGGAAGUUCUGUAAUUUGUUUCAAUAAGUCCUCAAAGCACUGUUAUUGCUACUUUUCUUUUUCUUAAGCUUAGUACUAUGUAUUAUUUUUUUUUGACAUAUUUUCUUCUCUUGAACUUCCUUUAACAUGGCAUUUUGUUAGAUUUUGCUCACUGCAGUUUUCCCUUUUUUUUAACUUAUUGUUUUGCAGAUUAUCCCUUCUUCCCUCCCCUCUUGUAAUUUUGUUCAUUUUUUUUAACUCCAACUUUGUUUUAUAUAUUUAAAUUUUAAUAAGUAUAAGAAAUCCUUGCGAAUUUUUGAGAUUCUUUGAUUGUUCUUUGCUCUAAGUAUCAUCUGGCUGCCUAUUAUCAUUCGAUUUAUCAUCUAAUCUCUGUGGAAAACAUCUCUCUUGCAAUAGAACAUCCAUUAAUUUCCUCUUGGCCAUUCGUUCAUAGCAUCUAUCUUGAUGUUUCUUAACCCUUCUGUUAGACAUUAGUUGUGUGCAUUCCAUGAAUAUGAUUGUAUUUGGCAAUGUAUGCAUUUUCCUGCAUGCUGCUGCAAAUUUCCUCUUUGUUUUUAUUUUUAUUUUGAAGGUUUGGUUGGUGCCAUCAUUUGCUUACUUGGUUUUCUUUCGAGCCAUGCAUUCUUGUUUAUUGGAAUCCCUUUAGUAGUUUUUUUUGGUUGUUUGUAAAGUUUUCUUUCGUUCAAGAUGUGUCUCGUUUAUUAUAUUAUCUCAUGUGCUAAUCCAUUUUCGUUUUAUUGCAUGUGACAUCGAUUCGAAUCUACUUUGGACUCCAUUCUCGCAUUUCUCCGAGUUGCACAGAUCCUUGAGUCAUCCCCCCAUUUCAAAGUCUAGAAAGCUAAAGCUGAUUUGCAGUUUGAAAACAGCAAAUAUGGUGCUGUAAAAUUAUGUUUGCAGGUGUUGAAGAAGCUGUAUACCAGCGAUAUACACAUGUUAUACACUGAUAUACAGGUUGAAAUGUGCACAAGAGGUCAAAUUUGAAAUCUCGAUUGAUAGCAGUCCAGAUGUGCUGCUGAAAUGGAACUGUCAACUUUGGAAAUUUAAAAAACAGGCUGAUAUAUAGCCUGUAUACACUGAUAUACAGAGACGCUAUACCAAAAAUAGGUGUAAAAAUGCGAAUUGCAGGUUAACAUACAGGGACGCCGAAUUCAGAUAAAAUACAGGAAUAGGCAAUGAAUACGUGCGUAGAAUACAGCCCGUAUACAUUGAUAUACAUCUUUUGGGCAACGAUAUACAAUUGUUAAACAGGUUAAAAAAUGGUACAUGUACAAAUAUCACCGAAAUAAUAUGGGAAAUACAGGUGGAAUCGUGAGAACUUGUAUUCGAAUAAAUAUAGGUAUCAAACAGUAAAAAAUGGACUGGAUAUGCACAGUGUACAUCAAUUUGUAUAUCCUAUUGCUUUUUUCAAGAAAUUGGGCCAAUGCCCUUCAGCAAUUUUUUUUCAUAGGCCCAAAGGAGAAUGUUUGUUUUGCAAGUUUUUUAAAUUGUUAAAAAGGGGCUUUAAUUAAAGUGAUUUAGUUUAGAACAGGUGGACCAAAGCCCAAUGAAAUGAAUUUAGGCAAUCAAGC